UACGGGGGAGCAAGCGUUGUUCGGAUUUACUGGCGUAAAGGGCGCGUAGGCGGCCAGCACAAGUCAGUUGUGAAAUCUCCGAGCUUAACUCGGAACGGUCAACUGAUACUGUGCGGCUAGAGUGCGGAAGGGGCAACUGGAAUUCUUGGUGUAGCGGUGAAAUGCGUAGAUAUCAAGAGGAACACCUGCGGCGAAGGCGGGUUGCUGGGCCGACACUGACGCUGAGGCGACGAAAGCCAGGGGAGCAAACGGA
rnacentral:rRNA from 1 species